GCGCCGCUAGCUCAACUGGCAGAGCAGCGGACUCUUAAUCCGCGGGUUCGGGGUUCGAGUCCCUGGCGGCGCACUA
rnacentral:tRNA from 1 species